rnacentral:rRNA from 1 species
CAAUAGCGUAUAUUUAAGUUGUUGCAGUUAAAAAGCUCGUCGUUGGAUUUCGGAUGGGAUUUGCCGGUCCGUCGUUACGAUGUGCACUGGCCAGUCCUAUCUUGUUGUCGGGGACUAGCUCCUUGGAUUCACUUCCUGGGACUAGGAGCUGACGAGGUUACUUUGAGUAAAUUAGAGUGUUCAAAGCAAGCCUACGCUCUGAAUACAUUAGCAUGGAAUAACACGAUAGGACUCUGGCUUAUCUUGUUGGUCUGUGAGACCAGAGUAAUGAUUAAGAGGGACAGUCGGGGACAUUCGUAUUUCAUUGUCAGAGGUGAAAUUCUUGGAUUUAUGAAAGACGAACUUCUGCGAAAGCAUUUGUCAAGGAUGUUUNCAUUAA